ACUGCAGGUUCGGGUGCGGGAACAGCAGCGGGUCGACGCUUGGGCCCAGGAACGACUCCGGGAGCUGGCUGAAGGGUCCAGCCCACAGUAUCCGGGGCUGGUCCUGCAUCAGGGCCUCCUGCUGCACCACGGUCGUCUGUACAUCCCGCCAGGGCCACUGCGGCUGGAGGUUCUCCGGAUGGCCCAUGAUGCCCCGGCAGCGGGGCACUUUGGACGGUAUCGGACCACCCAUCUGGUCAGUCGUGAGUUUUGGUGGCCCCGCCUGAAGGCUGACGUGGCUCGCUACGUUGCUGGUUGUGAUGUCUGCCGACGCGCCAAGGGGCCUACCGGGCGACCCCCGGCCUACUUCAGCCAUUGCCAGUUCCACCGCGCCCUUGGCACACAGUUUCGUUGGACUUUGUAGUGGACUUACCCUCGUCUCGUGGCUGUACCUGCCUUCUGGUUUUCUCCGACCAUUUCACCAAGAUGGUGCACUGCGCUCCCUGUCCAUCUGUACCCACAGCCAAGGAAACUGCUCAGCUGUACCUUCAGCAUGUCUUCCGCCUGCAUGGACUACCUGAGCGCGUGGUGUCCGACCGGGGCGUUCAGUUCACAUCCCGGUUCUGGCGAGCAUUACACCAGACCCUCGGGACAGAGGUCUGCCUCUCGUCAGCCUACCACCCACAGACCGAUGGCCAGACGGAACGGGCGAACGCGGUGCUGGAGCAGUACCUCCGGUGUUACUGCAGCUACCAGCAGGAUGACUGGGUCGACCACCUGGCAUUGGCGGAGUUCGCCUAUAACAACGCGGUGAAUGCGUCCACCCAGCAGACCCCGUUCCAGGCCAGUUAUGGUUAUCAUCCACGGCUGUUUCCAGAGGUGCUGCCGGCAUCCGCGGUCCCGGCGGUGACGGAGUGGCUUCAAGAGCUCCAGUCCCAGCAACAGCUUUUGGUGGAGCAACUGCACCAGGCCAAGGAAGCGUACAAAGCCCAGGCCGACCGCCACCGCCAGGUGGGGCCGGAACUUCGCGUCGGUGACCUGGUUUGGCUCUCCACUCGCCACCUCCACCCCUCUCGACCUUCGCGGAAGUUGGACGCCCGCUUCACCGGCCCGUUCCCUAUCGUAGACCAAAUCUCUCCUGUGGCAUUCCGUCUCCGGUUACCCGCAACCCUGAAGGUUCACCCGGUCUUCCACAGGUCCCUUUUGAGUCCGGUGGCCCCACCCGACGAGUUCCACCAGAACCGUCCCCGACCGCAGCCAGUGUUGGUUCGGGGAGAGCCUGAGUACGAGGUGGAACGCAUCCUGGACUCCCGAUACCGCAGGGGAAAGCUGCAGUAUCUCAUUGACUGGAAGGGGUACGGACCGGAGGACCGUUCCUGGGAACCAGCGGCCAAUGUCCAUGCACCUGCCUGCCUCCGAGAGUUCCAUGCGACGUAUCCCGGCAAGCCGGGUCCGGACCCUCGGUUGAGGGGGGGGCCUGGGAGGGGGAUGGUGUGAUGGCCUGGGAUUCCGAUUCGGAGGAUGAAACAGAGGAAUCCCGGCCUGCACAGGAGUCCCCGCCUCCAGGGCCGGCUGAACUGGGGCAAGGCCUUGAUGCUGAAGAGCCUGCACCUGUGGCAGUGCAUCAGGAGCUGGCCCCAGGUGAAGCCCUUCGGGCCCCAGAGGGGCUUGAUGACUCAGUGGCCACAGGUGAGCCUCCUCCAGGGCCCAGUAACCCUUCGGCCUCUCCUGAUCUGCAGAGGCUUAGGGCAGAGAGGCGAAGGGAACUGGUUGCCCCCAGGAGGAGUGCUCGCCUUAAGGCCAGAGGAGGCGGGGCUCCUGGGGACCGGGACCGCCCCUGGCCUUAGAAGAGGAUAAAAGCCCAGUCAGCCCGGCCCCAGGUUGCGGGAGCAACGUCGUUGUUGGCUUCGGACCUUCCUGUGUUCCUGAUCCCUGCUCGGCUUCCUGUUCCUGACUAUCCGGUACUCCUGUUCCCUGCUCGGCCUCCUGUUCCCGACCAUCCGGUGUUCCUGUUCCCUGCACAGCCUCCUGUUCCAGCAGUCCUGUUCCCCGCCCGGCUCUCUGCCUCGGACCUUGCCCCUCUUCGUGUGGACUCUGCUACACCCAAGGUACCUUACCCCCGGGACCAGCACAC